GAGCCGCUAGCUCAGCUGGCAGAGCACCGGCCUUUUAAGCCGAGGGUCCUGGGUUCGAUUCCCAGGCGGCUCACCU
rnacentral:tRNA from 1 species